rnacentral:tRNA from 1 species
UAGCUCAGUGGUAGAGUGUUUGCCUGGCAUGCAUAAGACUCUGGGUUCAAGCCCUG